rnacentral:rRNA from 1 species
AAUGAACGUUGGCGGCGUGGAUUAGGCAUGCAAGUCGAACGCUUCCCAUGUAGCAAUACAUGGGAAGAGUGGCGUAAGGGAGAGUAAUCCAUGGUUAGCUACCCUCGGGUCUGGGAUAGCGGCGGGAAACUGCCGGUAAUACCAGAUGACAUCUUCGGAUCAAAGGGGUGGAUCCGCCCGGGGAGGGCACCGUGUCCCUAUCAGCUAUUUGGCGGUGUAAUGGACCCCCAGGGCUAAAACGGGUAUGGGGCGUGAGAGCGUGCCCCCACUCACUGGGACUGAGACACUGCCCAGACACCUACGGGUGGCUGCAGUCGAGAAUCUUCGGCAAUGGACGCAAGUCUGACCGAGCGACGCCGCGUGCGGGAUGAAGGCCUUCGGGUUGUAAACCGCUGUCGUAGGGGAGGAGGCGACCGUGAAGAACGGAAGUUGACCGAUCCUAGGAGGAAGGGCCGGCUAAUCUCGUGCCAGCAGCCGCGGUAAUACGAGAGCCCAAACGUUAUCGGAUUACUGGGCUUAAAGAGUCGUAGGCGCGGGAAAGUAGGUGUGAAGCCUCGCUCACCGAGGAUUGCGUCUAACUACGUGCUGAGACCA